GGUUUGUUUUGUCCGAGCUAUGUGGGCCAUCACCACCCAUGACCAAUGUCCAGUAUCCAUAAUCCACCGAUCAUCACAGUCAGUUAGUUUUGGUGCCAGUGUCCGUGGUGGUGUGGUGGUGGUGGGUAGCGGCAAGUAAUUCUGUGUCUGGAUAGUAAGUGUUUGCGGUGCUGUGUUAGUGUGCAGUAUUGCUGGUGGUGCUGCUGUGGUGUGUCUCUUAUUGUCUGUCUCUAUGCGUGGAGAGAUAUACUAGCUCCGCCGCACCCACCCACCCAUCACUGAAACACACACACACACACACACACACACACACACACACACACACACACACACACACACACACACACACACACACACACUGCAGCCUUCAUUGUGCAUUAUGGAUGCCUCAAGCAAGAUGAGUGCCGUGCAGAGAGAGAGAGAGAGAGAGAGAGAGAGAGAGAGAGAGAGAGAGAGAUUACUUUAAGCAUGUAUAUAAUCCUUUUGUAAUUUGUAUAAUGUUAAAACUAAGGUGGCUUUUUGACACUUGACAAACUCACAAAGAAAAAUAAGAGCAAAAAUAAGUAAUUGUUUUUAUUAUUAUUAUUAUUAUUAUUAUUAUUAUUAUUAUUAUUAUAAGAAGAAUAUAUAUAUUUUUUUUAA